rnacentral:rRNA from 1 species
ACCCCAGGUCAGGCGGGGCUACCCGCUGAGUUA